rnacentral:rRNA from 1 species
CUACGUAGGUGACAAGCGUUAUCCGGAUUUACUGGGCGUAAAGGGCGUGUAGGCGGUCUUGCAAGUCAGAAGUGAAAUUCCUGAGCUCAACUCGGGCGCUGCUUCUGAAACUGCAGGACUUGAGUGCUGGAGGGGAUAGCGGAAUUCCUAGUGGAGCGGUAAAAUGCGCAGAUAUUAGGAAGAACACCGGUGGCGAAGGCGGCUAUCUGGACAGUAACUGACGCUGAGGCGCGAAAGCGUGGGGAGCAAACAGGAUUAGAUACCCUGGUAGUCCACGCUGUAAACGAUGAAUACUAGGUGUAGGGGGUAUCGACUCCCUCUGUGCCGCAGUUAACACAAUAAGUAUUCCGCCUGGGGAGUACGGCCGCAAGGUUGAAACUUAAAGGAAUUGACGGGG